rnacentral:rRNA from 1 species
UACGGAGGGUGCAAGCGUUAUCCGGAUUCACUGGGUUUAAAGGGUGCGUAGGAGGGCAGGUAAGUCAGUGGUGAAAUCUCCAAGCUUAACUUGGAACUGCCGUUGAUACUAUCUGUCUUGAAUGUUGUUGGAGGUGAGCUGGAAUAUGUCAUGUAGGCGUGAAAAUGCUUAGAUGAUGACAUAGAACACCAAUUGCGAAGGCAGCUCACUAACACAUUAUGACUCUGAGGCACGAAAAGUCGUGGGGAUCAA